AGACUCCACAGGAAAGCAGCAGAUGUUGACUUUACUUCGUUCAAGCCAACGUCAGCUCUCUCCUGCAGGAUGGGGAGAAGGCAGGAAGGGAUUUUCUUACGGGCAAAGAAGCCAAGCUGUAGGGAAAGAGAUAAGAGUCACCACCAAAUGCCCUGCCCAGGGACCUUGCCAACAGCCCUCAGAUGUAUCUGAAGUCUUCAAUUUUGCUCUGUUUCCAAAACUGAGAUUCAAAUUAAUUUUAUUUGGCUUAGUUUAACUCAACUAACAUAUUGUAGAGGACAGUAAAAGAGAUCUGGGCAGGACACCCACAGACUGCUUAGCUCCCCAGCACAAAUCGUUCUCCCUGCUAUAAUCAAGGAUCCCUUAACUUGUGGGCACCACGCCCCAUGCUCCCCACUAUAGCAGUGCUUACCUUCCAAAGGCAGAAAACAAGGAGAGCAAGCAGGAGCAGCCCUCCCAGGACACUGCCAAUGAGGAUCCACAGGGAGAUGAGGACAGGGCGAGACUGAAUCACCUCCAGGAGGCUCUGCGUAGGAAGAAGAGUUGUUUUUUACUUGCACCCUUUUUGCUCAGCUAGCCUCACCCCACACUGUAGCAAAGCCAGCCUCAAAAUAGAAGAAUAAAAGGAAAGAAACUGAGGUAGGAAUGGAGGCAGUGGAACCCCACCAUUCUAAUUCAUCACUUCUGACUCCCUGACUGCGGCCUGAUGAAGACACCUCUGUUCUAAAAUAGCUCACAGGUGCCCUUAUGUCAUCACCACCCUUGCUAGUUUCACAGUUCUCAAACUCAGGCUCCAGCCCCACCUCACUCCAACGAGAGGCUUCAGUCAGCUGUAGGACACUGCCCUCCUCGGUUCCCAGCUCGAAGACGCUGACCACUGUCAGAGACUUGAAUUUGGCCUGCGGAUGGAAAGACCUUUAAAGUGAGCCAUUAUCAGGUGAUAAGGCUCUCAGAACCCUAAUGGCAAAGAUGAGGCUGAGGGGCACAACGUCCAGACCAGAGGAAACCUUCCAAACCAGAGGAGAAGACUGGAGACCAAGGGGGAAAGAGAAGAACGAGUUGCAGACACCAGCACUUUCCGCCGACCACCUCGAACCAUGAAUGGGUCCUUCCUAGGAGGGAUGGAUAAAAGAGAGCCAGAGUUGAAGGAGCACCAGAAGCCUC